rnacentral:rRNA from 1 species
AUUGAACGCUGGCGGCAGGCCUAACACAUGCAAGUCGAGCGGAUGAAGGGAGCUUGCUCCUGGAUUCAGCGGCGGACGGGUGAGUAAUGCCUAGGAAUCUGCCUGGUAGUGGGGGAUAACGUCCGGAAACGGGCGCUAAUACCGCAUACGUCCUGAGGGAGAAAGUGGGGGAUCUUCGGACCUCACGCUAUCAGAUGAGCCUAGGUCGGAUUAGCUAGUUGGUGGGGUAAAGGCCUACCAAGGCGACGAUCCGUAACUGGUCUGAGAGGAUGAUCAGUCACACUGGAACUGAGACACGGUCCAGACUCCUACGGGAGGCAGCAGUGGGGAAUAUUGGACAAUGGGCGAAAGCCUGAUCCAGCCAUGCCGCGUGUGUGAAGAAGGUCUUCGGAUUGUAAAGCACUUUAAGUUGGGAGGAAGGGCAGUAAGUUAAUAACUUGCUGUUUUGACGUUACCAACAGAAUAAGCACCGGCUAACUUCGUG